rnacentral:lncRNA from 1 species
GUCGUCCUGACCAAUGAAAUAGCUCCACUAUAAUCAAAUAUGGGUACAAGAGUCUCAAAAGCUUAUGCACAAACAGUGCCAACAACUGGUCAAACCAACAAAGCUUACAAAUGAGAACAAGAAAGAUGAAAAUACCCUAAAAAUUUUGAUUCAGUGCGAGACAGAUAUCUCUCUGUUCAUACCUCCUUUUGACAAUCUGAACAAUGAAAAGGAAGACCUAUUGUUGCAAACUUGCUCUCCAAGAACCAGCCCGAUCCAACCAUUAACGAAUCCGCAAUCAUUGCGUUUUACUAAGAAAGACAUGAGAAAUUCUGGGUUGACUUUUACUCUUCUUUUCUCUUUUUUGGUGGCUACUUUUCUCACAUAAAAACUUUGUUCUCAACCCUAAUAUGACAUCUCUCCACUUAUAUAAGUGAGACAUAAUAGGCUAACAUGUUUAGGCUUUUCUCCAUGCAGCAAGUAGCCCAAAACCCAACAAAUAUGCCAUGAGCAAAUGAUCCUGAAAACAAUGAAACACUCUUGUCAGGCCAAAAACUCUUGAGAAAAUGCGUUCUUAAACACAGAACAUAGCAAGCUGUUCUUACGGCCAAGAUAACUAUUUUCAUAAUUGUUGAACAGAAUAAAAGCCCCUACAAUCUAUUAAACUUAUUCAAUGAUCAUAGUAGUCUACUACAACAAAACCCCAAAACAUCAUCAAUGUAUUUGUAGUUGUCAUCAAUCAAGGUCAAUAUAUGUGCCAUUGAUGCUUCCAUCGCUUCUAAAUCAGAUGGGAUUUUGUCAACAGUGGUCAAAUUCAGAUUAUCAACUAUAAAUGCAAGAAGUAAAUACACAAUUAGGAUUUCAAUCAUUCAAGUCAAAGAACAUUCUUGUUCCAUUAUAGGAAACUCAAAGCAACAAACAAAUUAUAUAGUGAUACAACACUGAUGGUACUUGGAGGCUUUCUUCCAUGAAAAAAUGAUACAUAAAUAUAAAUCAGUUAGUAAACAAUAUCGAUAUGAUAUUUAGAUGCAAUCUGUUCGGCAUGAACUAAGCCACUCUCUCAACUAAGAGGCAUUGUUCUGUAGACCCAAAGACACUUCUAUAAAGGAAGAAAAUUAUUAACUCAGAGAACACAAAAUGCAGUUAUGAAAUCAUCCUUAAAAUAGAGAAAUGAUAUUUGUAACAUCAUUUUGGAACAACUUUUAGAUAAUUCUCUCUCAUACACUCGUUGUGUUCUUACCCUCUUCCUCUCUAUUGUUUUUAUCCCAAAAAUUGUAACAAAAUGGUUGCACGAGUAUCUCAAAACCUCUUUUAAAGAGACCAGAUGUCAUACUCUUAAACCAUUUAGGGGAAAAACACCUAAUUUCUAAAGCAACAUUUAUCUGAAGAAAUAUCCUAAAAUAUGUGGGAGCUAUAUUCCAUCCAAAUGUACCAUAUUGCAGCAAACUCGGCUUCUUGACAUAAGAAAUUGGAUACCUUCCAAAGGCAAUUAAACAAGUCAUAAAAAAUGGUCCAAAGACCUGGGACAAACCCAAACAUGUUACUCGGGAUCAUCUUGAUGAUCUCAGCCAUCAAAGUUAAGACUGCAGAUGAUCUAAGUCUUAUCACUCACAAGAAAAUAAACCUCCAGGUUUUCAGGGAAUCAUCAUUUGGUACGGGAUAAGGCAAUAUCAUGCAGGUUUUCCCAAAUACCCGGACACAGUUUUGGUUAUGGUCAAGGAGCAAACAUUCUAUGUGGUUAAGAAAAAAGAUAGAACAAUUAUACUUAGCAGCCAUUUCCAUUAAAAAAACUACUUAGGGAAAGAAAGAGUUGUUUAGGAUGAAAGUGAGAGUUCAGAUCUAGAAUAUAUUAUGCCGAAAUUGUUAUGGUUUAAUCCUAACUUUCAACAUGUUGCCUAGUGUAAAUGUUCAAUCUGAUCAGACAUGGAAUUUCAUUUCCUGAAUACAUUUACAAGUUCCAAAUUGAGUGAGGGUUGUAACUGGAUCAAUAUCAGAACGUUCAAAUCAAGUUGGAUAUUUAUUUCCUAUUCAAGAGCAAGUAGUUGGAUCUUUAUCCCCAUCUCUUAGCCUUGGUCUAUUUGAAAUUGUUGUCAUGGGUAGAAAUGAUGAUGGUUAUCAAGUUGAUUUUGAUACACAAAGUUGGGUCGAGGAUACGGUAAUUGGAUAUAAAGUGAAGCCGGACUAAUAAUACCAAUAUUAAAGAAACAUUAUUAGCAAACAUGGAGAUAUUGCUAAUAAUUGUGUGACAGAGCAGUGAAAGAUAAGAAUAUAUGGUUGGAGAUAAUUUGUAGAGUUAUGUUGUACUUUGUAACGAACGACUUAAGAAAUUUCAAGAAAAGUGACUUGAGAAACAAGAUUUCUCUUGUUAACGGAAUUCAAAAUAUGAACGUCAACAUUGAAUGACUCGGCCUAGUGUUAAAUCUAUUACUUGAAGCAAGAGUUACUUACUAUGGAUAAUUUUGAUGAGAUAAGGAAGGACAAUGGCAAUGGUAGCAAACAAAUUGAAAGUUUUAAAAGUAAAUUGAGAAAAUGUGAAGAAAAGGUAAAGGGAUUGUCCGAUCAAAUGAAAAAAGUAUGUGAUGAAGAGACAACAAAAAAUGAGUGUAUAUAGACUCAUUCUUUGCUGUGACAAAACUGCCUUUGUAAAUUCAUCACAUACUUUUUUCAUUUGAUCGGACAGUACCUUUACCUUUUUUUUCACAUUCUUUCAAUUUACUUCAACAUUCUUUCAGUUUACUUCCACAGUAACACCUGCUUCAAACAACUAAUCUAGUCUAGUGUUGAGUCAUUCCACAAUUACGUUCAUAUUUUGAAUCCGUUAACACGAGAUAUCUUGCUUCUCAUGUCUCUCUUUUUUUUUUAAUUUUCAAAGUCAUUCUUUACAAAAUAAAACACAACUAUACAAAUUACCUCCAACUAUAUAUUCCUGACUUUCACUAACUCUGAC